UGAGCAAUCUGCCCUUCUCUUCGGAAUAAGCGUUGGAAACGACGUCUAAUGCCGAAUAUGACCUCCUUUCGCAUGAUCGGAGGUGGAAAGCUCCGGCGGAGAGGGAUGAGCUCGCGGCCUAUCAGCUAGUUGGUGUGGGUAAUGGCCCACCAAGGCGACGACGGGUAGCCGGCCUGAGAGGGUGACCGGCCACACGUGGGACUGAGACACGGCCCAGACUCCGUACGGGAGCAG
rnacentral:rRNA from 1 species